rnacentral:rRNA from 1 species
AGAGUUUGAUCCUGGCUCAGAUUGAACGCUGGCGGAAUGCUUUACACAUGCAAGUCGAACGGCAGCACGGGGCAACCUGGUGGCGAGUGGCGAACGGGUGAGUAAUACAUCGGAACGUGCCCAAUCGUGGGGGAUAACGUAGCGAAAGUUACGCUAAUACCGCAUACGAUCUACGGAUGAAAGCGGGGGAUCGCAAGACCUCGCGCGAGUGGAGCGGCCGAUGUCAGAUUAGGUAGUUGGCGGGGUAAAGGCUCACCAAGCCAACGAUCUGUAGCUGGUCUGAGAGGACGACCAGCCACACUGGAACUGAGACACGGUCCAGACUCCUACGGGAGGCAGCAGUGGGGAAUUUUGGACAAUGGGCGCAAGCCUGAUCCAGCCAUUCCGCGUGCAGGAUGAAGGCCUUCGGGUUGUAAACUGCUUUUGUACGGAACGAAACGGCGAGCUCUAAUACAGUUUGCUAAUGACGGUACCGUAAGAAUAAGCACCGGCUAACUACGUG